UACAGAGGGUGCGAGCGUUAAUCGGAAUUACUGGGCGUAAAGCGCGCGUAGGCGGCUUUGCAAGUCGGGUGUGAAAUCCCCAGGCUUAACCUGGGAACUGCAUUCGAGACUGCAUUGCUAGAGUAUGGGAGAGGGAAGUGGAAUUUCCGGUGUAGCGGUGAAAUGCGUAGAUAUCGGAAGGAACAUCAGUGGCGAAAGCGGUGAUCUGGGCCGAUACUGACGCUGUAGAGCGAAAGCGUGGGGAGCGAACAGG
rnacentral:rRNA from 1 species